rfam:Elusimicrobia bacterium RIFOXYB2_FTLL_48_7 rifoxyb2_full_scaffold_5022, whole genome shotgun sequence.
GCCCCCAUAGACUAGCGGUUAGGUCAUCGCCCUUUCAAGGCGGUAGCACCAGUCCGAAUCUGGUUGGGGGCA